UCGUUCUCGUUGCCAUUGGGUGAAAUGGCUCGUAUCCCGGUGUGACGAUGUCAGUAAGCAACAAGGUGUGGAACGAUCACUUGCUUGUCUGACAAGCUUUCCGUCGUUUUGAUUGCUGAAGCAGUGGUUUUCACUUCAUUCCUGAAGUUUCAAGCCAUUAAGAAAAGCUUCUGCUUCGCAUUUGGUGGCUUGUUGGAUGCGAACACCGGAACGACCAGCAUCUAAGAUGAGAAUGGCGUAGUGUCGCUGGAGAAUCGAGAUUCAAGUCUAUUUGAUACAGGUGCGUUAAACAGGAGUGGUUCGAUCUGCCAUUACCAGGACAUUGUCGUUGUUCAAAAUUCACUAUUUGGGAAGGUAUGUAUGUGCUGCAUCUGUAUUCAUGUCUAAUAUCAAGUCUAGAAAAGUAGUGAGAUUUGGUGGGUAUAUUUUCAGCUGGUAAAAGAUCACACUUCAAAAAAGUAAUGCGUGCGAUACUUCAGGAUACAUAUAACAUAUUCUAACAUUUGUAUUAUGAUUUUUUUCCGACAGUAUUUUUCUGUAUUACCUAAAAAAUUAGAAAAUUUUUUGGUUAAUUGUUAUAACUAUCCUUAUAUUACUUUAAAUAUACUUGUUUAAAAAUCAAGAUAUCUAUACCUAUAUCAUUAAAUGUUAAAAUAUUAUAUAUAUAUAUAUAUAUAUAUAUUCUCUUACCCGUGUCCUAAGAUAUUAAAAAUUUCCAUAGCCAUCGCAUCAUGUUGUAUCUCAUCCAAUACCCGUAUCCAUACCGGUGCUUCUUAUGUCGUCAGACACUAUCUUUAAAUGCAGUGUUCUGCCUGUAUUGUUCUGUUUUGCUUCAAAUGCUUCAAAUGCAGUGUUUUCACACACUAUCUUUAUGUUGUCUGUGAAAUUUGAUCCGCAUGAAUUAUUUGAAAAUUGGUUAAAGCUUGUUUGCGCUCCUAUGUUAAGUUCAAACUUCUGCUUUGCCAUGCAUGAAUAAGAAGCUGUGAAUUUUUUUUGGCAGCUGUUGAGAAGCAAAAAUAUUUUAUAAAACCAUUUAAAUAGCUUAGUCUUUUUUUUUUUUUAAAAUAGAUUCUAUAUUAUUUAAUUUGUUUCUCUUGGACCCUAUUGAAUGCUUGGCUUAAAUCAACUGUUCCGUUUGCGAAUUAAAAUUUCUGAUAGGCAAUGAAUUAUCUCAUUAGCAACUCUUUGACAAGUGAUCCAUAAGUGAACUGUUGUGCAAUCUUUUUUUAUUUCAAUUACUUAUUGCUUAGGUGGGUCCCUAUAUAUCAUAUGAAGUUUGAGAAGUGACUUGCAUUGUUUAUUUAUGGUUUGUGAGUAGUGCUACCUGUUAUACAUUUCAUAUUUUUAUUGUUUUACGAAUUAAUCGAAGCAGGUUUCUUGACAACACUCCAAUGCCUAAGUUAGUAAAUGUUGAAAGAGUGUGUCACAUUGAUGGGAACUUAUAAAGGAUGAGCUGUGAUUUUCACAAAGAUAGAAUCUCACGGGAGGGGUCUCUGUGCACAACUUCACAUAAUGUUGGCUAAAUAAGCUAGUUGUUCUUGGUCCCCUAUGCGGAUCUCCUUUUGCAUAAUGCUCAAAAAGUUGCUGGUUAAAAGUAUGAGAACGAUGAUGUUUAAAAUUUGUAGGCUCAAAGACAUAACGGAUCAAGAGAAAUAAAAAUGUAAACACAUUAUGAAUCAAGAUAACAAACUAUUCUUUAAAUAAACUUCACCUAUAUUUGAAACUUUGUGCAAAGUAAAGCUGAUAGCGUAAUAAUGUGCUUUUGGUCUCUGCAUGAUAAGUGAAUCUACAUGGUUGGAGUUGAAACUAUAUAAAUAAAAUCACUAGAAAUUAAUUAGUUCCGUUUUUUUUUUUUUGUGGUUGCAUGUUUAUUUGAUUGUAAUUAUCUUUCAUUAGAAUUCAGGAUAAACGUAAACUUGAGUCCAAUAUGAUCUACAGCCAGAUUAUCAUGCCUUGAAGCAUAAGAUAAUUGGAUCAGUUUUUGUAUGUGCAAUGCAUAUUUUAUUUAUAAGUAUACUGUAAAAACUACAAUACAGGCAAGAAGCACAAAUUCUGAGGCAGAAAUCACGUGACACAUCACCUUUCUAUGGCUAAAGGGCCAUCAAGUUUAUUAGGUUCAUGAAGAUAAGCUUAUGAGGCAUAUUUGACUGAGGGAACUAAGUCCCGCAUCGAAUACAACACAAUAAAAAUUAGAGUAUAAAAGAUAGGAAACCAGCACAGAUGGGCACGACCUUACUUGAACAGGAUCUGUUCUAUAGGUUCGUACCUCUGUGUCCUUGAGUUUCAAGGAGACAAGAACCACAGCUUGGUUGAUGACUCAUGACCACGUGAUCAGAGCGUGAUUACUGGUCUGGUUGCCCAGACUGAUGUUCAACCUGGCUGCAGAGGAUCGUUCCCAGGCAGUUCAACUGUGUGGGAUGGUCACUUGGUUGUCUGACAAGCUCCAGUAUUCUUUUUAUUUAGCAAAAAUUUCUACUCAGUAUCUUUUAUGGUUAAAUUUUUACUCCCUCCCCCCCCCCCCCCGGGAAAAAAAAAACAAGAAGUAUGCUUUAUUUUGCAGGACGGCUGGAAGCACCAUGUUCAUAUGUUUGGUAGGAUCGCCCUUCUUCGCAUCCUUUAUGUUUAAAUUGUUAUUCUUUUUUCAAACAUUCAGAGCUUGGAAGCAAACUUUUCCUCCCAUGUGUGCUAUGUUUUGCAGGAUGGCUGAAGCACUAUAUUCAUUCAUAUAUUUGGAAGAAUCGCCUACUUUUAGGCAUUUGUCUUGGAUGUCAUCUAAAUCUUUUGAAGAGAAUACACCAAGUCGGAUUUUGAUCAGUGGACACGCACUCACAGUGUACUAGAAUGAAAUUAAGCCACUACAGACUAGAAGCACAAAUUCUCAAAUAAAAAGCACGUGACAGCAGUUUUGUAGAGCCAAAUACCAUAAGUGCCCUCAAGUUUGCAGGGGUCAUGAAGAUAAGCUUAUGGGCAUUUUUGCGACUAAAGGAUCUGUUCUAACUCAAGGAGACAAGAACCACAGCUUGGUUGAUGACUUAUGACCAGGUGACUAGAGCGUGAUUAUUGGUCUGGGCUGCCCAGUGUUGGGUUCAGCCGGGCCGCAGAGGAUCGUUCCCAGGCAGUUCAACUGUGUGGGAUGGUCACUUGGUUGUCUGACAAGUUCCAAUCUUUUUUUCAUUAUAUACAGGCAAGCAAGUUUCGUUUAAUUCCUCAUAAGCACCGAAAGUUUGAGACAUCCCGAUGCUCUGCAGUUUGGCUGGCGUGGUAUGUCUGCUAUACUCUGUUUCGAAUGAUUGAGGCAUUCUGAUGAUUUGCAGAAUGACUGAAGUACUAUGCCCAGAAAGAUUGAGACAGAUCGCCCUUUUUCGGGCUUAUUCAUCUUUUACAAUCUAGUUAAGAGAUUAGAUCGAGUGAGGUCAAGAUUCGUGCUUCUAUUUUUCUUUCUUUUUCCCCUUUGUGGCGUUUGUUUUUUAUCCUCUGGUCAAAGUUGGUGCUUUUCUCCAAAUCGGUGGACCAAGCUUGGAGAGGGCAAGGGAGCAUAAAUGGCCGCCGAAGAUUAAGGGAUUGCAAGAUUCAUCAUUAGGUUAGAAAAAGAAUCAUGAAGGAUGCAAUAGAGAAGAUUUUGAGGAUUCCUUAUAAUUGUUGGAAGAGAUUGCUAAAUGGUGUUAUUGAUUAUUCUUAAAGAAAGGAGUAAAAAAAAAAAAAAACUUAGUUUAAUUUACUUAUUUCUUGUUAACUCUACUAUAAUCAAUGAUCAAUACAAGCAAUUAUUUACGUGUU